GAUCCUGGCUCAGGACGAACGCUGGCGGCGCGUCUAACACAUGCAAGUCGAACGAGAGAGAAGGAGCUUGCUUCUUCGAUCGAGUGGCGAACGGGUGAGUAACGCGUGAGGAACCUGCCUCAAAGAGGGGGACAACAGUUGGAAACGACUGCUAAUACCGCAUAAGCGCACGGGAUUGCAUGAUCCAGUGUGAAAAACUCCGGUGGUAUGAGAUGGACCCGCGUCUGAUUAGCCAG
rnacentral:rRNA from 1 species